rnacentral:lncRNA from 1 species
AUAACUUCAUUCUAUACAAUGAACUUAUGAUUCUAAUGGAGUUGUUGGUUGUUUUGUCUUGUGUCGGUGAUUGUAGGAUGACUGACAUGGGAGGACCUAGCCGAGUAGUAGAAGAGGAGCCGCGUGACAUACACGUGGUAUAUGAGGCACCAUUGAUAGCAGAGCCUAUAUCAACUGUAGUUCCUAUCGAUGAUGAUGACGAGGAAGAGGAGAUAGAGCCAAUACCCGAAGAGUCUGAUCCAGAGGAGGAGCGUAUGGUGGAUGAGCCCAUGGGGGACUCCGACGUGGCUACUUUUGAGGAUAGGAUGUUGGGGGAGUAUGAGGACUAGAUUUUGGAAUUAGGGUGCAAAGUUGAGAAGUUAGAGGCUGAGGCCAAAGACAGAGAGUCCGAAUUCCAAAAGCUGAAGGACGAAGACCACCAGAGAAAGUUAGUAAUGCAGGAGAUGGAAGUAGAGAUUGUUCACCGUAAGGAGGCAGGAAUCCAGAUGGGGGCUUUGUUUCACAAGGCGGUGGCUAGGAAUGUAGAACUGGCAGGGAAGUUGGAAGAGAUGGAGCAGAGGGGGUUGAGCGAGGGGACAGAGAAGGAAGCUAUCCGUACUCAGUUAAGGAUGGAAGUAAUGGAUAGGAUCCAUUUCGAAGAAAAGUGGAAAGGGGCCAAUGAUAGGGCUAACGAUCUAGAAGAUGAAGUGAGGUGCAAAAGGAGGA